rnacentral:tRNA from 1 species
GAAUUGGUAGUUCAGUGAUAGAAUUCUUGUCUUCCAUGCAGGAGACCUGGGUUCAAUUCUCAGCCAAGGCA